rnacentral:rRNA from 1 species
ACGGGUGAGUAACGCGUGGGAACCUACCUGAAGGUACGGAACAACUCCGGGAAACUGGAGCUAAUACCGUAUGUGCCCGAGAGGGGAAAGAUUUAUCGCCUUCAGAUGGGCCCGCGUCAGAUUAGCUAGUUGGUGAGGUAAUGGCUCACCAAGGCGACGAUCUGUAGCUGGUCUGAGAGGAUGACCAGCCACACUGGGACUGAGACACGGCCCAGACUCCUACGGGAGGCAGCAGUGGGGAAUAUUGGACAAUGGGCGCAAGCCUGAUCCAGCCAUGCCGCGUGAGUGAUGACGGCCUUAGGGUUGUAAAGCUCUUUCGCUCGCGACGAUAAUGACGGUAGCGAGAGAAGAAGCCCCGGCUAACUUCGUGCCAGCAGCCGCGGUAAUACGAAGGGGGCUAGCGUUGUUCGGAAUUACUGGGCGUAAAGCGCACGUAGGCGGAUUGUUAAGUCGGGGGUGAAAUCCUGAGGCUCAACCUCAGAACUGCCUUCGAUACUGGCAAUCUCGAGUCCGGAAGAGGUUGGUGGAACAGCUAGUGUAGAGGUGAAAUUCGUAGA